UACGUAGGCAGCGAGCGUUGUUCGGAAUUACUGGGCGUAAAGAGUGUGUAGGCGGUGCUCUAAGUUCGGUGUGAAAUCUCCUGGCUCAACUGGGAGGGUGCGCCGGAAACUGGAGUGCUUUGAGCGUGGGAGAGGAAAGCGGAAUUCCUGGUGUAGCGGUGAAAAUGCGUAGAUAUCAGGAGGAACACCUUGUGGUGUAGCGGCUUUUCU
rnacentral:rRNA from 1 species